GGACAUCUAGGGCAUGGAGCUUGUAGAACUUUUUUAAUAUAUUGCAUUGGGAAAGCUGUGAGGCCAGGUAGAUCUUUGGACAGUUGAAGAUGGCUCACUAUCAUAUCCAUGGUAAGCUCCGAUUCCAUCUUGAAGUUAGAUUAAACCUAACUCAAUCCUAAAAGCUAGCUCAUGAGGUGAGGAUUUCCCAAACCUUUAUAAGCUUUAAUUUCUCAACAUCUCAAACAAAUUUUUACCAACAAUACUCUCUGGGAGAAAUUAUAACUAGAAGCAACAACCUACAACACCAAAUCAGGCCUAAUAGUAAAGGAAUUAUAUUGAAUAGGAUCAGGCAUACCCAGGUUAACAUUAUGAAGUAGCAUCUGCAGUAAACUGUUGCAUUAUGUAUGCAUGUGUGUGUGUGAGCAAAGCUAACAUACCCUGCCUUUCGCAUAUCCUGGUAUAUAGCCAGGCAUUGUUGCACCUCGUGUAGGGAGCCGUAUUUACUGCGUGCCUUCAGAAGUGUGUUAUAUGUCACCUGAGAGAUAAUUAACAAAAUCAAUAGAGAUAAGUUGAUGAAGCAUACUCUGUUAAUUUUUCCCAAUAUCACAAGAAAGUUGUAAUUUCCAUUUUUUUUUAUAUUUACUGUAUUAUGCGUUGUCUGCCAUUUCUUUUCGUCAUGAGUAGAUAUGUCAGCCAUUGUACUUAUAUUUUAGUUGGUUUUUAUGGUUGUAGAAUCUUAGAGCAGCCUCAUCCAUGUUGCAUUGAGUUCGUGGAUAGAGCUAUCUAAGUUUACCAUUUUGUGAAUAGAAUCAUAACAUGAUAACAACUAAAGUCACUAGGCACUCACCCAACUUGGACGUAUCUCGUAGCAUUUCAUUUCUUCAUAUAAUGUUAAUGCUUGCAUAAAAUUCUUACUUUCAACACAAACCUGUGAACCAGAAGGCAAAAUUCCCUUAUGUCAAAGGCCAUAUAAAUUUAAGAUAGUGAAAAACAUCCACUACAAGUGUACAAGUAAUUUCAUAAAAUAAAAUAAGCUAAUUUUGACAGAAAAGCCUUUGACCUUCAUGGCUGUUGUAUAUGCAAUAACACCAGGUUUAAUUCCAGCAUCACCCAUGGUUUUCAAAAUCUGCAUGGGAACAUAGUCAUCUGAUCAGAGAACUAAAUGCAUUAUCAUGAUACAGAUAAGCGAAGUACAAUGAUCAGUACUCUGCAUAUCAAUAUUCAGGCAGACUAUUAUUUCUCAGCGAUUAUUUUGAAGUCUGGUUUUAUAUGGAAUAUGACUUAUUGACUAGAUAAGCUAAUUAAAGAGUGGUCCAUAAUGAGUUUCCAUGGCUGCAAUUUAAAGAUGAUAACUCUGAAGUUACACUAUUCAUCUUGCAGCUAUAAAUUUCUCUUGUAAAUGCUUUGCUUUUUAACAUUUUGGAGAAGGGUUUUCCUACUAGCUGUUCUAUACCUCAAUAGUCUUUUAUCUAAUUAUUUAUUAAACUUACACAUUCAAUUGUACCCAACCAAAAAAUUGAACAUAUCAGGCAUACUUAUGAGAUUAACAAACACUUUCUUGCUGUUCUUUUGGUGUGUCUAAAUAAUGCAAGUGAUACAUAAAAAACGUCAAAUAUGAUAAGAAAACCAUGAUGUUCCUGUUCCCUGUGGCACCAAUCCUAAUACAACUUGACUAAAAAGGUUUCCAAAAAAUGUUCUAGAUUAUUAAAUUUUUACCUCAAUGGCACCCUCCACAUUUGCUGAUGCUCCACAUAUAUCUAUCAAAAUUGACCAGCUUAUCUGAUUAGGGGAAAGACCUACUGUUUCCAUCUCUUUUAUUAAUGCUUUUGCAUGGUAAUAAUCAGUACCACAGGGCUUCAGCAAGAUAUAGUAUGUUGUUGUAGUUGGUGUGAAAGGGAACCUCUCAGAAAAACUCAAGAUGUGUGAAUUAGAAAUGCCAUUUGGCAUAGAAGUAACAUUAUGCAUGUGUCCCUGCCCUAAAUUGCUAUUGUAGCCUUCACCAGAUGACCCCAACAUCUUUUUUCCCUUCCAAGAAUGGAAAAAGCGAAAACCCCUGUCAUAUUGGUAAGCUUCAACACAUGCAUUUAAAAUGAUGUUGAAACACUGCGUAUUAGGUUCACAGCCUGCCAAAAGCAUUUCUUCAAAUAACUGAAUUGCCUGCUCUACAAGCCCUGCAUGUGCGCAGGCAUUGCUUAAUGAUGACCAUGCAACAAUAUUAAGAGAAACACCAGCAGACAGCAUGUCUUGCUUGAUUUUUAGAGCCAUCUGCCACAACUUUACAUCUGCAAAGACCUGAAAUUGAUAUUUGUCAGGAGAUGUCAAAUAUUUUGUACUAUAAAAUAAAUGUGUUACAUAUUACUUCACUGAAGAGAAGUGAAGGAGAAGGUUGUGGGUACCAUGCAAUAUCAAAUGAAAUUAUGGUGAUUCUGUAUCUACAGUAAUACCUUUAUAAUUGUGCUGUAGGUAAGGACAUCUAAUUUUAGCUGUCCCACUGAUUCCAAAUGCUUAAGUUCCCUAUAAAUGCCUUGAGUCAGAUCAACUCUUCCAGCAACACAG
rnacentral:lncRNA from 1 species